AUGCAGUACACCGGACCAACCUACCACUUCCCACCCACCGUGCCGGAGAGGCUCUACCCUCCUGGCAUGUACGUUGAGCGCACACUACGUGUGUGGGCAAUAUCAAGGUGGAGGACCACAAGGAACUUCACCGAGUUCUUCCUCGCGUCCGGCUACCACCACCUCCCGCGGGGAUCUCCAAGGAUGUUCCGUGUCAAGGAGGUCAUCCAAAACGGGGUGGUGGUUGCUCUCCUUGCCCACUUCACCAACACAUUCGACGUCUUCUACCUCCUUGGCCGGGUGUUUUGGUGUGGCUGCGAGUUCAUCGCUUUCACCACCCACAACAUGUUCACGGAGUACACCAACAUCUUCCCCACCGCGUUCCGCAUGCACACUCUUCUGUACCCCAUCAACAACGCCUUGGAAGAGCAGUGA
rnacentral:rRNA from 1 species